rnacentral:lncRNA from 10 species
GCUUGAUUUGCCCAGAGGAGGGGCAAGAGAAACAGAAAGAGAAGCAGCCCAGAUGAGAGAAAAGGUGCUUUAACUUUGAUUGCUGCAGAUUUUCUUGGCGUUUAAGUGCUGAUGAAGCAGUCAAAACUGAAGAUCAGCUUUUGAUCAUGAAGAGGAGAUUAGGUCACAGAUGUUCAAUAAGGAAAGACCAUGUGAAGACACAAGAAGAUGGUCAUCUGCAAGCCAAGAGAAAUGUCUCAAAAGGAACUGGCCCUGCUGACAUCUUGACCUUGAAUUUCCAGCCUCAGGUUCUUGGAUGCUUGAUGGAAUUAAGGAUUUGAGAACAUGAGAACAAACAGGAAUAUGCAGGAAAUCUUGAGGACACAGGAGAUGAAGUCAACCUGUGGCCAAGGGAGAGGGAGGGACAUGAGAAGCUUUGUGAAAGAUGUCAGCGCAAACCUCAGGUUGUCCUACUUGCUAGCCAUUCAUUAUAGCAAUGCCCCUAUUUCAAACAUGUCUAGAAGAACAGCAUUAGUGGGGAGGAGCCAAGAUGGCCGAAUAGGAACAGCUCCAGUCUACAGCUCCCAGCGUGAGCGAGGCAGAAGACAGGUGAUUUCUGCAUUUCCAUCUGAGGUACCGGGUUCAUCUCACUAGGGAGUGCCAGACAGUGGGCGCAGGCCAGUGGGUGCACGCACCAGGCGCGAGCCGAAGCAGGGCAAGGCAUUGCCUCACUUGGGAAGCGCAAGGGGUCAGGGAGUUCCCUUUCCGAGUCAAAGAAAGGGGUGACGGACGCACCUGGAAAAUCGGGUCACUCCCACCCGAAUAUUGUGCUUUUUGGACCGGCUUAAAAAACGGCCCACCACGAGAUUAUAUCCCGCACCUGGCUCGGAGGGUCCUACGCCCACGGAGUCUCGCUGAUUGCUAGCACAGCAGUCUGAGAUCAAAUUGCAAGGCGGCAGCUAGGCUGGGGGAGGGGCGCCCGCCAUUGCCCAGGCUUGCUUAGGUAAACAAAGCAGCAGGGAAGCUGGAACUGGGUGGAGCCCACCACAGCUCAAGGAGGCCUGCCUGCCUCUGUAGGCUCCGCCUCUGGGGGCAGGGCACAGACAAACAAAAAGACAGGAGUAACCUCUGCAGCCUUAAAUGUCCCUGUCUGACAGCUUUGAAGAGAGCAGUGGUUCUCCCAGCACGCAGCUGGAGAUCUGAGAACGGGCAGACUGCCUCCUCAAGUGGGUCCCUGACCCCUGACCCCCGA